UUGGGAGUAUGGGGUGUUGUAUUGGUGACCUGUAGCCGAUGCCCAUCCACCAACCACGUGACGACAGGUUUGUGCCUGGCUGUUUCACAAAUCCCAGAGUUCUGUCUUCAUAUCCCAGCCGACUUCCUGCCGAAACGGGGAUCGACGCUCAGUGCUCUCGAAGAGCCGUAUUUAGCUGUACCUUUCUUCAUUAUUGCAGCCUGGCUCAUGGCAGUGUAGCGAAGGUGUUGGUGACCUCCAUUCACUUCUUUGGUCACCCCACAAGUGACUUCUUGGGUGCUGUGCAUUCUUCUGGGGCUUGGAGGAAGGCACUACACAAGUCUGUUCCCUUUGAGGGAGAACAUCCUUAGAAGUCAAGGGGAGUUUCUGAGCUAUUACAGGCAACUGGUCUGUGGCAAGCUGACCAAGGAGAGCUAAGAUUCCCAAACACCAGGACAGAAAGCAAGGCCAGCCCAGAGAGGUUCUGCUCCGUGUGACAAACAACUUGAAGAUCUUCUUUGAUCUCAGUUCUGGGCACAAGUGAGUCUCUCGAGCCUGUCCAGUUGAGAAUGACAAGAAGGCCCACUGUGUGUGCAGCAGCGUAGAUCUGAGAGGCCAUUCCGCCCAACACCUUUUGAGAAGACCUGCAUCACAGUAAUGGAACGGAUUGAAGAGCAGCUAGCUAGCUGCCUUUGAGAGCGAUGCCUACCUGCUCCCUGGAGCCUGAAGGCUAAAAUUAGGGCUGUUGUGGAAGCUUCAGAAUGCUGCAUUCUAAGUCAGCAGGAGGUCAAGGGUGUGCAGUCCCUUAGAAGAUGGACAGGUGGGAGGGACAUCCAGAGGAGAUUUCAGCUGUGCCAUCCGUCCUUCUUCUGAGAUUUGUAGAUCAUCUCAAGAGCCUUAUUUGAUUGGAAAUAAAGAUUUUGCUCUGAUUCUCAA